GGCCCGGUGGCGGAAUGGCGACGCAAGGGGGGGCUGACGCUCCCCCACAUCCUGGUUCGAAUCCAGGCUGGGCCUCCA
rnacentral:tRNA from 1 species